AUUCAAAUAGCUUAUAUUUAGAGCGUGACACUGAAGAUGUUAAUGAGAUUAUUACAAUCUUUGAAUA
rnacentral:tRNA from 1 species